rnacentral:misc_RNA from 1 species
GAUGAAGAACGUAGUGAAAUGCGAUAAGUAAUGUGAAUUGCAGAAUUCAGUGAAUCAUCGAAUCUUUGAACGCACCUUGCGCCCUUUGGCCAUUCCGAAGGGCAUGCCUGUUUGAGUAUCAUGAACACCUCAACUCUCAUGGCUCGCCAUGAUGAGCUUGGACUUUGGGGGUCUUGCUGGCCUGUGGUCGGCUCCUCUCAAAUGGAUCAGCUUGCCAGUGUUUGGUGGCAUCACAGGUGUGAUAACUAUCUGCGCUUGUGGUUUUCCAUCAGAUAACCUUCAGUGAUGGAGGUUCGCUGGAGCUCAUAAACGUCUCCCCUAAGCGGGGACAGCCCUUUGAAUGUUUGAUCUCAAAUCAGGUAGGACUACCCGCUGAACUUAAGCAUAUCCAAUAAGCGGAGGA